rnacentral:rRNA from 1 species
GGGCCAGACUCCUACGGGAGGCAGCAGUGGGGGAUAUUGCACAAUGGGGGGAACCCUGAUGCAGCGACGCCGCGUGGGUGAAGGAGCGUUUCGGCGCGUAAAGCCCUAUCGGCAGGGAAGAAGGAGGACGGUACCUGACUAAGAAGCCCCGGCUAACUACGUGCCAGCAGCCGCGGUAAUACGUAGGGGGCAAGCGUUAUCCGGAUUCACUGGGUGUAAAGGGAGCGUAGACGGCGACGCAAGUCUGGAGUGAAAGCCCGGGGCCCAACCCUGGGACUGCUUUGGAAACUGUUAGACUAGAGUGCUGGAGAGGUAAGUGGAAUUCCUAGUGUAGCGGUGAAAUGCGUAGAUAUUAGGAGGAACACCAGUGGCGAAGGCGGCUUACUGGACAGUAACUGACGUUGAGGCUCGAAAGCGUGGGGAGCAAACAGGAUUAGAUACCCGGGUACG